UACGGAGGGUGCAAGCGUUAUCCGGAUUCACUGGGUUUAAAGGGUGCGUAGGUGGGCAAGUAAGUCAGUGGUGAAAUCUCCGGGCUUAACCCGGAAACUGCCAUUGGUACUAUUUGUCUUGAAUACUGUGGAGGUCAGCGGAAUAUGUCAUGUAGCGGUGAAAUGCUUAGAUAUGACAUAGAACACCAAUUGCGAAGGCAGCUGGCUACACAAAUAUUGACACUGAGACGCGAAAGCGUGGGGAGCAAACAGG
rnacentral:rRNA from 1 species